UGUUGAUUAAGGUUGCUUAGUCGUACGGUUCUAUCUUGUGUCGUUGGUUUAGUUUUAAUGAUUCGUCUUCCUACACUCUUUAUUUCUCGUCCAUUCAUGAGUGUGACCGAAGUCAGUUAGUAUCAGUCUCACCCGCUCACAUCUGUGGUUACCGUAGUUCUAUGGUGGGACUUGCGGGUUUCUUCGGUUGCUACGACGAUAACGAGCGACGACGGUACGAUUUGCCUUAGGGUAGAGGAAAAGGUUUUCCAGGUAUCCACACUCGUGAGCACUGGUUACAUUCCCUGCAAUAUUGUAACCAAUUACGUGGCAUUCUUGGGUGGCAAGGUCUCUGAAGAAACUCUUUGAGACUUCCGAGUUCUACCUGCUGUAGCAACAAGAGCGGUCCUACCGACGGGGUACCUGGACGCCAUACUACGAAGGGUAGUACCAGAGACAUACUUUUACGUUCACUAAGAUG
rnacentral:rRNA from 1 species